CGCAUCCUUCGGGGUGAGUGGCAGACGGGUGAGUAACGCGUGGGAACGUGCCCUUCAGUUCGGAAUAACCCAGGGAAACUUGGGCUAAUACCGGAUACGUGCGAGAGCAGAAAGAUUUAUCGCUGAAGGAUCGGCCCGCGUCUGAUUAGCUGGUUGGUGGGGUAAUGGCCCACCAAGGCGACGAUCAGUAGCUGGUCUGAGAGGAUGAUCAGCCACAUUGGGACUGAGACACGGCCCAAACUCCUACGGGAGGCAGCAGUGGGGAAUAUUGGACAAUGGGCGCAAGCCUGAUCCAGCCAUGCCGCGUGAGUGAUGAAGGCCUUAGGGUUGUAAAGCUCUUUCGUCCGGGACGAUAAUGACGGUACCGGAAGAAGAAGCCCCGGCUAACUUCGUGCCAGCAGCCGCGGUAAUACGAAGGGGGCUAGCGUUGUUCGGAAUCACUGGGCGUAAAGGGCGCGUAGGCGGCUUUGUAAGUCGGGGGUGAAAGCCUGUGGCUCAACCACAGAAUUGCCUUCGAUACUGCAUGGCUUGAGACCGGAAGAGGUUAGUGGAACUGCGAGUGUAGAGGUGAAAUUCGUAGAUAUUCGCAAGAACACCAGUGGCGAAGGCGGCUGACUGGUCCGGAUCUGACGCUGAGGCGCGAAAGCGUGGGGAGCAAACAGGAUUAGAUACCCUGGUAGUCCACGCCGUAAACGAUGAAUGCCAGCCGUUGGCGAGCUUGCUCGUCAGUGGCGCAGCUAACGCUUUAAGCAUUCCGCCUGGGGAGUAC
rnacentral:rRNA from 1 species